rnacentral:rRNA from 1 species
GACGAACGCUGGCGGCGUGCCUAACACAUGCAAGUCCACGAGAAAGCGGUAGCAAUACUGCCGGUAAAGUGGCGAACGGGUGAGUAACACGUAGGUAACUUGCCCUUGGGACUGGAAUAACCUCGAGAAAUCUGGGCCAAUACCGGAUAAUGCAGCGGACCCGCAUGGGUAUGUUGUUAAAGUGGUCUUGGCUUGCCAAGUUCACACCUAAGGAUGGACCUGCGUCCCAUUAGCUAGUGGUGAGGUAACGGCUCACCAAGGCGACGAUGGGUAGCCGGCCUGAGAGGGUGUCCGGCCACACUGGGACUGAGAUACGGCCCAGACUCCUACGGGAGGCAGCAGUGAGGAAUAUUGGUCAAUGGCCGAAAGGCUGAACCAGCAACGCCGCGUGAGGGAUGAAGAU